GAGUUUGAUCUUGGCUCAGAUUGAACGCUGGCGGCAUGCCUUACACAUGCAAGUCGAACGGCAGCACGGGAGCUUGCUCCUGGUGGCGAGUGGCGAACGGGUGAGUAAUGCAUCGGAACGUAUCCUGGAGUGGGGGAUAACGUAGCGAAAGUUACGCUAAUACCGCAUAUUCUGUGAGCAGGAAAGCGGGGGACCUUCGGGCCUCGCGCUCUUGGAGCGGCCGAUGUCGGAUUAGCUAGUUGGUGAGGUAAAGGCUCACCAAGGCGACGAUCCGUAGCAGGUCUGAGAGGAUGGAUCUGCCACACUGGAACUGAGACACGGUCCAGACUCCUACGGGAGGCAGCAGUGGGGAAUUUUGGACAAUGGGGGCAACCCUGAUCCAGCCAUGCCGCGUGAGUGAAGAAGGCCUCGGUUGUAAG
rnacentral:rRNA from 1 species